rnacentral:ncRNA from 2 species
UCAAACAGCUAGGGGUGCCCGUACGGGCUGAGAUUGAAACAGGUGUUUCUGACCCUUGGAACCUGAUGCGGGUAACCGCCGUAGGGAAGCUGGCAGACAUAUCA